rnacentral:rRNA from 1 species
CGUGUAGGCGGCUUGAUAAGUCAGAUGUGAAAGCCCUGGGCUCAACCCGGGAAGUGCAUUUGAAACUGUCAUGCUUGAGUAAGGGAGAGGGAAGUGGAAUUCCUGGUGUAGAGGUGAAAUUCGUAGAUAUCAGGGGGAACACCGGUGGCGAAGGCGACUUCCUGGCCCUAUACUGACGCUGAGACGCGAGAGCGUGGGGAGCAAACAGGAUUAGAUACCCUGGUAGUCCACGCCGUAAACGAUGUUCACUAGGUGUUGGAGGUAUUGACCCCUUCAGUGCCGGAGCUAACGCAUUAAGUGAACCGCCUGGGGAGUACGGUCGCAAGACUAAA